rnacentral:rRNA from 1 species
UACGUAGGGGGCUAGCGUUGUCCGGAUUUACUGGGCGUAAAGGGCGCGUAGGCGGCGCAACAAGUCACUUGUGAAAUCUCCGGGCUUAACCCGGAGCGGCCAAGUGAUACUGUCGUGCUAGAGUGCGGAAGGGGCUACUGGAAUUCUCGGUGUAGCGGUGAAAUGCGUAGAUAUCUGGAGGAACACCGGUGGCGAAGGCGGCAUCCUGGACCAACACUGACGCUGAGGAGCGAAAGCCAGGGGAGCAAACGGG